UAGACUAACUAGUACUAUUACUUAUAGAAGAGGAAGAAAAAGUAAUAAGUGUUUUUGCAAAAAAAAUAAUUUUGAAUUUCAUUUCAAAUUUAUGUUUGCUCUUGAAGCAAAGAAAUUAUUUAGUAAUACUAAUCUUGUAAUAGAUGAUUUCAAUUUUCAGUUGAUAUUGUGAUAUCUAAUUUAGAAAGUGUAAUAAAAUUAUCAGAUCUGAGUA
rnacentral:sRNA from 1 species